GACGAACGCUGGCGGCGUGCUUAACACAUGCAAGUCGAACGGAAAGGCCUCUUUCGGGGGGUACUCGAGUGGCGAACGGGUGAGUAACACGUGAGUAACCUGCCCUUGACUUUGGGAUAACUUCAGGAAACUGGGGCUAAUACCGGAUAGGAGCUCCUGCUGCAUGGUGGGGGUUGGAAAGUUUCGGCGGUUGGGGAUGGACUCGCGGCUUAUCAGCUUGUUGGUGGGGUAGUGGCUUACCAAGGCUUUGACGGGUAGCCGGCCUGGGAGGGUGACCGGCCACAUUGGGACUGGGAUACGGCCCAGACGCCUACGGGAGGCAGCAGUGGGGAAUAUUGCACAAGGGGUGGAAGCCUGAUGCAGCAACGCCGUGUGCGGGAUGACGGCCUUCGGGUUGUAAACCGCUUUCGCUCAUGACGAAGCUUUGUGUGACGGUAGUGGGUAAAGAAGCACCGGCUAACUACGUG
rnacentral:rRNA from 1 species